rnacentral:rRNA from 1 species
CCCUAUGGGGUGCAGCAGGCGCGAAAACUUCACACUGUGCGAAAGCACGAUGAGGGAAUCCCAAGUGCCAGCUCGUAAGAGUUGGCUGUUUCUUUGUCUAAAAAACAGAGAGAGUAAGAGCUGGGUAAGACGGGUGCCAGCCGCCGCGGUAAUACCUGCAGCUCGAGUGGUGGCCACUAUUAUUGGGCCUAAAACGUCCGUAGCCGGUUUUGCAAAUGCCUGGGUAAAUCGUAUAGCUUAACUAUACGAAUUCCGGGUAGACUACGAGACUUGAGACCGGGAGAAGUUAGAGGUACUCUUGGGGUAGAGGUGAAAUUCUGUAAUCCUAAGGGGACCACCAGUGGCGAAGGCGUCUAGCUAGAACGGGUCUGACGGUGAGGGACGAAGCCCUGGGGCGCAAACGGGAUUAGAUACCCCGGUAGUCCAGGGUGUAAACGCUGCUCGCUUAAUGUUAGUUGGGCCCCGAGCCCGAUUAGUGUUGGAGAGAAGUUGUUAAGCGAGCUGCCUGGGAAGUACGUUCGCAAGGAUGAAACUUAAAGGAAUUGGCGGGGGAGCACAGCAACGGGUGGAGCGUGCGGUUUAAUUGGAUUCAACGCCGGAAAACUCACCGGAGGCGACGGUUACAUGAAGGCCAGACUGAUGAUCUUGCCAGAUUUUCCGAGAGGAAGUGCAUGGGCC